GACAACGAAGAGUUUGAUCCUGGCUCAGGACGAACGCUGGCGGCGUGCUUAACACAUGCAAGUCAAGGGGAAAGUUUCUUUCGGGGAACGAGUAUACUGGCGGACGGGUGAGUAACGCGUAGGUGACCU
rnacentral:rRNA from 1 species